rnacentral:rRNA from 1 species
UUUUAUAAUUAAAUUAAUUGAAAUUAUUUAUAAAUAUCAAAAAUUUUAAUUAAAUUAAUUAUUUUAUUGGGGUGAUAGAAAAAUUAAAAUAACUUUUUUUUUAAAAAACCAAAUAUAAUUGAGUAUAUGAUCCAAUUUUAUUGAUUAUAAGAAAAA